rnacentral:rRNA from 1 species
AGCGGAUUGAUGGGAGCUUGCUCCCUGAUAUCAGCGGCGGACGGGUGAGUAACACGUGGGUAACCUGCCUGUAAGACUGGGAUAACUCCGGGAAACCGGGGCUAAUACCGGAUAACUCAUUUCCUCGCAUGAGGAAAUGUUGAAAGAUGGCUUCUUGCUAUCACUUACAGAUGGACCCGCGGCGCAUUAGCUAGUUGGUGAGGUAACGGCUCACCAAGGCAACGAUGCGUAGCCGACCUGAGAGGGUGAUCGGCCACACUGGGACUGAGACACGGCCCAGACUCCUACGGGAGGCAGCAGUAGGGAAUCUUCCGCAAUGGACGAAAGUCUGACGGAGCAACGCCGCGUGAGUGAUGAAGGUUUUCGGAUCGUAAAGCUCUGUUGUUAGGGAAGAACAAGUACCGUUCGAAUAGGGCGGUACCUUGACGGUACCUAACCAGAAAGCCACGGCUAACUACGUGCCAGCAGCCGCGGUAAUACGUAGGUGGCAAGCGUUGUCCGGAAUUAUUGGGCGUAAAGCGCGCGCAGGUGG